UCGGGAAUUUUGGGCAAUGGGCGCAAGCCUGAUCCAGCCAUGCCGCGUGGAUGAUGAAGGCCUUAGGGUUGUAAAAUCCUUUCGCCGAGGACGAUAAUGACGGUACUCGGAGAAGAAGCUCCGGCUAACUUCGUGCCAGCAGCCGCGGUAAUACGAAGGGGGCUAGCGUUGUUCGGAUUUACUGGGCGUAAAGCGCGUGUAGGCGGGUCGUUAAGUUGGGGGUGAAAUCCCGAGGCUCAACCUCGGAACUGCCUUCAAAACUAGCGACCUGGACCUAAGUAGAGGCAAGUGGAAUUGCGAGUGUAGAGGUGAAAUUCGUAGAUAUUCGCAGGAACACCAGUGGCGAAGGCGACUUGCUGGACUUAUGGUNACGCUGAGGCUCGAAAGCGUGGGGAGCAAACAGGAUUAGAUACCCCAGUAGUCCCUGAGCGGGCUGGCAAGGCGCAU
rnacentral:rRNA from 1 species